AACGCACGCUUUCUUCAUUCCUAACACAUGCAAGUCGAGCGAGACCUUCGGGUCUAGUGGCGCACGGGUGCGUAACGCGUGGGAACCUGCCCUUAGGUUCGGAAUAACUCCCCGAAAGGGGUGCUAAUACCGGAUAAUGUCUUCGGACCAAAGAUUUAUCGCCUUUGGAUGGGCCCGCGUUGGAUUAGCUAGUUGGUAGGGUAAAAGCCUACCAAGGCGACGAUCCAUAGCUGGUCUGAGAGGAUGAUCAGCCACACUGGGACUGAGACACGGCCCAGACUCCUACGGGAGGCAGCAGUGGGGAAUAUUGGACAAUGGGCGAAAGCCUGAUCCAGCAAUGCCGCGUGAGUGAUGAAGGCCUUAGGGUUGUAAAGCUCUUUUACCCGGGAUGAUAAUGACAGUACCGGGAGAAUAAGCUCCGGCUAACUCCGUG
rnacentral:rRNA from 1 species